AACCUUUACACUGCACGACAGUGCGAUAAGGGAAUCCCAAGUGCGUAGGCAUAGAGCCUACGCUUUUGUCCACCGUAGGGAGGUGGACGAAUAAGGGCUGGGCAAGACCGGUGCCAGCCGCCGCGGUAAUACCGGCAGCCCGAGUGAUGGCCGAUCUUAUUGGGCCUAAAGCGUCCGUAGCUGGCCGCACAAGUCCAUCGGAAAAUCCACCUGCUCAACAGGUGGGCGUCCGGUGGAAACUGUGUGGCUUGGGACCGGAAGGCGCGACGGGUACGUCCGGGGUAGGAGUGAAAUCCUGUAAUCCUGGACGGACCGCCGAUGGCGAAAGCACGUCGCGAAGACGGAUCCGACAGUGAGGGACGAAAGCUAGGGUCUCGAACCGGAUUAGAUACCCGGGUAGUCCUAGCCGUAAACAAUGCCUGUUAGGUGUGGCUCCCACUACGAGUGGGUGCUGUGCCGUAGGGAAGCCGCUAAACAGGCCGCCUGGGAAGUACGUCCGCAAGGAUGAAACUUAAAGGAAUUGGCGGGGGAGCAC
rnacentral:rRNA from 1 species